ACGUGGGGUGACCUGUCUGGUUAAAUCCGAUAACGCGUGAGACUCUGGAUAAAUGACGAUGCUCGAUGAGAGUAGGGAAGCUCGGGUCGAUAACA
rnacentral:rRNA from 1 species